GAUGAACGCUGGCGGCGUGCCUAAUACAUGCAAGUCGAGCGAACGGACGAGAAGCUUGCUUCUCUGAUGUUAGCGGCGGACGGGUGAGUAACACGUGGAUAACCUACCUAUAAGACUGGGAUAACUUCGGGAAACCGGCGCUAAUACCGGAUAAUAUUUUGAACCGCAUGGUUCAAAAGUGAAAGACGGUCUUGCUGUCACUUCUAGAUGGUUCCGCGCUGCAUUAGCUAGUUGGUAAGGUAACGGCUUACCAAGGCAACGAUGCAUAGCCGACCUGAGAGAGUGAUCGGCCACACUGGAACGUAGACACGGUCCAGACGCCUACGAGAGGCAGCAGUAGGGAAUCUUCCGCAAUGGGCGAAAGCCUGACAGAGCAGCGCCGCGUGAGUGAUGAAGGUCUUCGGAGCGUAAAGCUCUGUUAUGAGGGAAGAACAGAUGUGUAAGGAACUGUGGACAGCUUGACGGUACCUAAUCAGAAAGCCACGACUAACUACGUG
rnacentral:rRNA from 1 species